rnacentral:rRNA from 1 species
GACGAACGCUGGCGGCGUGCUUAACACAUGCAAGUCGAACGGAAAGGCCCUGCUUUUGUGGGGUGCUCGAGUGGCGAACGGGUGAGUAACACGUGAGUAACCUGCCCUUGACUUUGGGAUAACUUCAGGAAACUGGGGCUAAUACCGGAUAGGAGCUCCUGCUGCAUGGUGGGGGUUGGAAAGUUUCGGCGGUUGGGGAUGGACUCGCGGCUUAUCAGCUUGUUGGUGGGGUAGUGGCUUACCAAGGCUUUGACGGGUAGCCGGCCUGAGAGGGUGACCGGCCACAUUGGGACUGAGAUACGGCCCAGACUCCUACGGGAGGCAGCAGUGGCGAAUAUUGCACAAUGGGCGGAAGCCUGAUGCAGCAACGCCGCGUGCGGGAUGACGGCCUUCAGGUUGUAAACCGCUUUCGCCUGUGACGAAGCGUGAGUGACGGUAAUGGGUAAAGAAGCACCGGCUAACUACGUG